GACGAACGCUGGCGGCGUGCUUAACACAUGCAAGUCGAACGAAGAGCGAUGGAAGCUUGCUUCUAUCAAUCUUAGUGGCGAACGGGUGAGUAACGCGUAAUCAACCUGCCCUUCAGAGGGGGACAACAGUUGGAAACGACUGCUAAUGCCGCAUACGAUCUGACCUCGGCAUCGAGGAUAGAUGAAAGGUGGCCUCUAUUUAUAAGCUAUCACUGAAGGAGGGGAUUGCGUCUGAUUAGCUAGUUGGAGGGGUAACGGCCCACCAAGGCGAUGAUCAGUAGCCGGUCUGAGAGGAUGAACGGCCACAUUGGGACUGUGACACGGCCCAGACUCCUACGGGAGGCAGCAGUGGGGAAUCUUCCGCAAUGGACGCAAGUCUGACGGAGCAACGCCGCGUGAGUGAUGACGGCCUUCGGGUUGUAAAGCUCUGUUAAUCGGUACGAAAGGCCUUCUUGCGAAUAGUUAGAAGGAUUGACGGUACCGGAAUAGAAAGCCACGGCUAACUACGUG
rnacentral:rRNA from 1 species